CCACUCCUGACAGUCAGAGAUAAGGGAGGAAGUCAGUAUUGUAAGACACACAACACAUAGCUAAGGCAUUCCUAGCCAAUCACCAAAUAUUUAUGUCGAAAAGCUUGCGAACUAUAAAGCUUUGCGCUCCUUUAAAAAAAAAAAUAUCGUGUUGAGCUGUUGAUCGUAGAUGCACUUGAUUCAAAAGCCCUGCGCACCGGGUAAGCAAAGUGUUCCUUUUUAACCAUUUUGUCUGAAGAGACAAACUCCGUCUACCCGGCCGACCGGCAAAUAUGAGACAAAAUCGAGUGCACCUACAGCGCUGCCCAAUCGGAUAGCUAAAAAUACCGUGGCUGCAGAAUUCCAUAACCUUGGCUACAGCUAAAUUUAAUAGGCUACUAGCCUAUGUAAGAUUUAAUAACUUUUAAAACCAUGAUCACAGAGAGACUGUCAGCGAAUACAGCAAAGAGCUGCUGUUUUUAUGAGUGGAAGAGUGUGUCCCCUCUCUCUGGCCAGUCUCACCGGAGGAAAGGAAGGAGAGAGCAGCGACCGUGAGAGGCGGUUGGGAAAAUCAUUUUGACCGGUCAUCCAACUCGGAAACUCUGGCAUCUUUCCAAAGCUCUGACUUUUCGAGCUGAAGAUCACUAACGUCGUGAUUUGACCUUGUUUGUCAUGUAUUGUCAUGUUAUGUCUUGUUCCUGUUCUUUCUCUUCACUUCGUUUCCCCCUGCUGGUCGUAUUAGGUUACCUUCUCUCCCUUUCCUUCCCCCAGCUGUUCCUCAUCUCCUCUAACUACCUCGUUUGCUCUCUCCCACCUGUUCCCUUUUUUCCCUCUGAUUAGGUCUCUAUUUCUCUCUCUGUUUCUGCUUCUGUCUUUGUCAGAUUCUCGUUUGCUUCACCCUUGUCCCGUCCUGUCGUAAUCUGCCUCUUCAUCAGAUGCUACGUGUGAUCAGGUACCUCUGUCCUCUACAACCCGCGCCUACCCGGAGAGACCAGCAGUCUGUUGCCGCUAACCCUGCUAUUCUCCUCUGCUGCUAGAAGGGGACUCUCCUGUAAAGAUCAGAGGACUUUAUGAUUUAUUUGUCGCCCUCUCUGCGGGUUGUCUAUUUUGUCAACCGAUACAUCUGAAGAGGAUUUAUGUCUUCCCUGUGUUUGGACAUUAAAAGACUCCGUUUCUGUUAAAACGCUUUUGGGUCCUCACUCACCUGCAUAACAUUGUUGACCAUCAGACGCAGGUACCAUCAGUCCAGUAAAAUCUAAAAGCGAAUUAUUAAAAUUCAUGCUCCACAGUGCCUCACAAGUGCUAAACCAACUAAUCUAUUUUGUUAUCAAAGCUCGAGUUUUGAAAUAUAAUAUGGUCUGAGAUUAACAAUAUUGGCAGGCCAAUCAUAUAGCCAAUAUGCUGUGAUAAUGCAUUAGGCCUACUGCCCAAACCUCAUUCCUACAAAACUGUUUGUGUGAGAUUAAUGUAGACCUCAGCUUGCUUUUUGACUGCAAAAGUGAUCUUGACUCAGAAAAGUUUGGUGACCACUGUAUUAAAUGGUAUGAGAGAUUCAAAAAUAGCUCAGCAAUAAAGACAAUGCAGCACUAUCAA